CUGCGUGCUUAACACAUGCAAGUCGAACGCUGAAGCCUGGUGCUUGCACCGGGUGGAUGAGUGGCGAACGGGUGAGUAACACGUGAGUAACCUGCCCCUGWCUUCGGGAUAAGCCCGGGAAACUGGGUCUAAUACCGGAUACGACCGUCGGACGCAUGUCUGGUGGUGGAAAGUUUUUUCGGKUGGGGAUGGGCUCGCGGCCUAUCAGUUUGUUGGUGAGGUAAUGGCUCACCAAGACGACGACGGGUAGCCGGCCUGAGAGGGCGACCGGCCACACUGGGWCUGAGACACGSCCCAGACUCCUACGGGAGGCAGCAGUGGGGAAUAUUGCACARUGGGGGAAACCCUGAUGCAGCGACRCAGCGUGCGGGAUGACGGCCUUCGGGUUGUAAACCGYUUUCAGCAGGGAAGAAGCGCAAGUGACGGUACCUGCAGAAGAAGUACCGGCUAACUACGUGCCAGCAGCCGCGGUAAUACGUAGGGUACGAGCGUUGUCCGGAAUUAUUGGGCGUAAAGAGCUCGUAGGUGGUUGGUCACGUCUGCUGUGGAAACGCAACGCUUAACGUUGCGCGUGCAGUGGGUACGGGCUGACUAGAGUGCAGUAGGGGAGUCUGGAAUUCCUGGUGUAGCGGUGAAAUGCGCAGAUAUCAGGAGGAACACCGGUGGCGAAGGCGGGACUCUGGGCUGUAACUGACACUGAGGAGCGAAAGCAUGGGGAGCGAACAGGAUUAGAUACCCUGGU
rnacentral:rRNA from 1 species